rnacentral:pre_miRNA from 9 species
UCUCGAUCGCGUAUAAGUUAACUCAAAUUUGUAUGGAGUUGGAAUGUUUGCUUACGUUUGCCUCUAGGGGCGCUGUUCCAACUCCAUACAAGUUUGAGUUAACUUUUACGCUAUCGA